rnacentral:tRNA from 1 species
UCCCUCAUAGCUCAGUUGGUAAAGAAUCUGCCUGCAAUGCAGAAGACUCAGGUUGGAUUCCUGAGUUGGGAA